rnacentral:rRNA from 1 species
AGAAUCAACGCUGGCGGCGUGCCUAACACAUGCAAGUCGAACGCGAAAGGGGAGCAAUCCCUGAGUAGAGUGGCAAACGGGUGGGUAACACGUGGGUGACCUGCCUCCGAGUGGGGGAUAACGUCCCGAAAGGGACGCUAAUACCGCAUAACAUCCUGCUUUUGGAAAAGCGGAGAUCAAAGCUGGGGAUCGCAAGACCUGGCGCUUGAAGAGGGGCCCGCGCCUGAUUAGCUAGUUGGUGGGGUAAUGGCUCACCAAGGCUACGAUCAGUA